ensembl:antisense Gm16555 predicted gene 16555
AGCUUCUGUGGACUCAGGCCAAUUGAAAGAGUGAUGAGAAUUGAUACAGACUCGUGGUGUUUUGCUAAGACAAGACUGUAAAAGAAUACAUUGAGUUUGGAAGGAAUAUGAACAGGACUCAACAGACUGUGACAGAGGCUUACAUAACUAGCUUUACAAUGCUUCAUUGCUCUCAUGUCUUUUGUCUUCAAGGAUCGUCACUUUGUUGAGAGAGGCAUGACAGAAAACUUCUCCUGGCAUCCUUGCUGACCCUGGUCUCUCCUGCUGACUUGUGCAGAUUCAGUAGAGGCCUGGCUGUUUCUGCUGGGUCGUGUUCACUAUACUGAUACUACUUAACUGGACUGCUGUUAUAUAUCCUGACAACACAGGAAGCCAUGUGACUCUGAAGCCGUGCGGGAAGAGCCACUAGAAACCUGUGUCCUAGAAAUCAGGAUCUUGAACUUGGCUCCUCUAGUCCCUGACUUUUAUACGGGAAGUCGGUAUAGACCUGCAACUGCGUCUGUGUGAUUGUGGAAAUGUGUGUGGGUGUGUAUCUGAGUGCAUGUGUGUGCCUGAGUGCACUGGUAUGAUGGAGGGGGAGGAGAGAGAGAGAGAGAGAGAGAGAGAGAGAAAGAGAGAGAGAGAGAGAGAGAGAGGUGUCUGUGAGAGUGGAGAGCUGGAGCCCAGGCGCGAGCAUGAGUCUCUGAAAGAUUAGAUGCAGUGGGCAUGGAUCAGAGCUAAAGGGUACUGGAUGGUGUGGUGUGAAUCUUCCUGUGUCUGACGCUUACAGGUGGUCAUUGACAUAUGCACCUGUGCAUGAUGGGAGGGCACAGAGGGUGGCAGGAGGAAGGGCCUGGGGUGACUGUUCACAGAGGGGCUCAGGGUUUGUGAAUCAGAGGCUAAGGGGAAAGGCCCCGCAAUCCAGGAUCUGGAAGAGCUUAUGUAAUUUUGUCACUCACUGUGUGUUUCUGUGUAUGAAUACCUGCAUUAAGGGAGCAUCCUAAGUAUCCAUCAGCAGAAGAAUGAAUAAAGAAAGUGCAGUUUGAGGCUGGAGAGAUGGCUCAGUGGUGAAAACGACUGACUACUCUUCCAGAGGCCCUGAGUUCAAUUCCCAGCAACCACAUGGUGGCUGACAACAAUCUGUAAUGGGAUCCAAUGCCUUCUUCUGGUGUGUCUGAAGACAGCGACAGUGUACUCAUGUGCCUGAAAUGAAUAAAUAAAUAAAUCU